rnacentral:rRNA from 1 species
UACGUAGGGCGCAAGCGUUGUCCGGAAUUAUUGGGCGUAAAGAGCUCGUAGGCGGUUACGCAAGUCGGGUGGGAAAUCUCCAGGCUCAACCUGGAGCCUUCGCUCGAUACUGCGUUGACUAGAGUCCGGUAGGGGAGUGUGGAAUUCCCGGUGUAGCGGUGAAAUGCGCAGAUAUCUGGAGGAACACCGGUGGCGAAGGCGGCAUUCUGGACCGACAUUGACGCUGAGGAGCGAAAGCCAGGGGAGCAAACGGG